ACAUGGGUCUUUAGAGUUACAGUACCCCACUAGGGGAAACACAAAUGUGUCUGUUGUAUAGUGAACAGCAGACUCGUUGCCCGUUGGGUUUGCUUUUGAAGUACUAGGCUUUAUACAGUGGUAUGGAAUUAAAAUCGGGGCGUUUGUAUAAGAGGCUGUAGUAGGGGCUUACCAAUGACAGGCUUAUAACGCACGCAGGGGCUCAGAUCGCUGAGUUUCCCUCGUGGUAAAUCGCGCACAAGGCGUGUGAAAGAAUGUCGCAUCUUCACCUCCGGUUGCCUCCAGCUUGUGCAGGGUGCAAACCCGGSAGAUGGGGAUAGCCACGUCUGUGUAUGUGAGGUUAAUACUGAGAGGGGGUGUGGUCUACUCUAGAUCAAUAACUGUCGGUCGGUAGUCUACUGAAAAAGGCAAAACAGAGUAGGGGCAGCAGAGACGGAGAUCCCUGAUCCAUGCUGGAUUGAUUUUUGAUGCUCUAUCUAUGCKUAGCUCAGACGCACUGUAGAGCUGCAGGAGGUUAUUGGCGGCAUAUUUGUUGUGGAUCGGUACUCUGAAAGAUUAAGUCCUGUAAUAACUGUUUGCGUUUGGUUUCAGACAAGACGUAGCUACAGUGGAUUUUCUCUUAUGAGUUGUGAAGGAAUAAUAAUGACCCAUUUACCCGGAGACUAUUUGUCCUGGAGCUCAAUUAACAAGUGCUAUGUCUCCAAUGGACGUGGAAUUAGGGACGUGUCCACAUUAACGAAAUAUCCUCUAUAUACGAGGGAAAAGACAGCCGUAUUGCAUUUGUGAGGUUCUCCUAUUUUCAAGAUUGGGGCUACCUCCCAUAGCUGGGCUUUGUGUGUGAGAGACUGAUGAGAGCAGUCCAUUGAAUUGCGCUGCCUGCAUCUAAAGACUGUCAAAUAGGUUCAAGAGACAAGACCUGCCAAGAUCUGUAGGAGUGAUUCCAGAAGACUGUGUUGGAUUCUCCUCACUAUGAACACUGAGGAUCUGUAGGAGUGAUUCCAGAAGAC